GCUGACGGAGCAACGCCGCGUGAGUGAUGAAGGUUUUCGGAUCGUAAAGCUCUGUUGUUAGGGAAGAACAAGUGCAAGAGUAACUGCUUGCACCUUGACGGUACCUAACCAGAAAGCCACGGCUAACUACGUGCCAGCAGCCGCGGUAAUACGUAGGUGGCAAGCGUUGUCCGGAAUUAUUGGGCGUAAAGGGCUCGCAGGCGGUUUCUUAAGUCUGAUGUGAAAGCCCCCGGCUCAACCGGGGAGGGUCAUUGGAAACUGGGAAACUUGAGUGCAGAAGAGGAGAGUGGAAUUCCACGUGUAGCGGUGAAAUGCGUAGAGAUGUGGAGGAACACCAGUGGCGAAGGCGACUCUCUGGUCUGUAACUGACGCUGAGGAGCGAAAGCGUGGGGAGCGAACAGGAUUAGAUACCCUGGUAGUCCACGCCGUAAACGAUGAGUGCUAAGUGUUAGGGGGUUUCCGCCCCUUAGUGCUGCAGCUAACGCAUUAUGCACUCCGCCUGGGGAGUACGGUCGCAAGACUGAAACUCAAAGGAAUUGACGGGGGCCCGCACAAGCGGUGGAGCAUGUGGUUUAAUUCGAAGCAACGCGAAGAACCUUA
rnacentral:rRNA from 1 species